AGAGAUAUUGAGCCUAAACCUUCUUCAGCAACGGGGUACAUGUGCUUCAUCCCAAUGGCUGUCACAGUCACAAGCACCGCAAGCAACACAAUUACUUAUUAAAUUCUUAAAGAAUUUGGUAGAUUUGCUAUAUUGUUAAGAGCAUGAUGCAUUUAUAGUAAUUUAUGGUAGUCUGGUAGUUUGUUAAAUUCUUAAAGACUUAACUGAUUUGGUGGCUUAAUAGUUUUUUAAAUUGUUACCGACAUAAUUCAUUUGGUGGUUUGAUGGUUUGAUCGUUUGUUAAAUAAUUAAUAGUUAAUGACUUAAUGUGCUUGUGAAUUAAUUGUAGGAUGUUGAUGUGAAUGCUUUUCUUCAAAACUCGGCGUUUGUGACAACCAUUGGAGACAUUAUCUGCUUGUUUAAAAGCCACGUCAAUAAUGAAGAAAAGAACGAUGACGAAGACGCAUACACAUAGUAUUUCUUGUUUUGACUCUUUGUGGAUGGUGUUAUUUUGGAUUUAUUAGAUAGUUUAUGGAUGAUAUAUUAGAUGUGUAUUUGGGAUAUAUUAGAUAGUUUAUGUAAUAUGAUAUAUUUGAUGUUUUAUGUAAUGUGGUAUGUAUUUUUAUUAAAGAUGCAUUUUAUAAUAUAUAAAAACCAAUAUCAUAAAUAAAUUAUUUUUUUCAAAAAAAAAAAAAUAAUUAAAACCAUUAGCAGCCACAUAUUUAGGGACGACAAUGAUUCAAUUGUGAUGACAACCGGUUCCGGGAAGUGUAGCCGGAGAAACUCUGACUGGUGGCCGGAAUACCAAUAGAGACGACACCAACAACAACGAGAUUAACCAUUUAGCAACAACGUAUAUCAGAGGCGACACUAUUUGCGACGACAAAAGAGUAUUAGCUACGAGGUAAUAGCGACAACAUGUCGUCGCUAAAGGUAUUAGCGACGUCCAGGGGCAUCAAUUGCGAUGCUUUUUGUCAUCGCUAAAGGUUAUGUUUUUUGUUAUGCAACAACUAUGUAUUUCUAUUACACAACACACAUCUUGAGACACAUAGUUAAAUUACCCCUCACAUUUAUAAUAAAAAAUUGAAAAUGCAUAAUAGAAUUUGGAAUAAGUUUCAUUUAUUGGAAGGCUAUUUCUUGUGUUUAGUACAAACAACAAUGCCAAAGCCUCGUGAAAUAUAUAAUGCUUUAGUUGCUGAGGUUGCUCUACAAACUCAUCACAUAGCCGACUCUGGUGGUGAUCCAGACACCAUUUAUUGGAUCGCAAUAUUUAAGAAGGUGUUGGGUACUCGUAGGGGGCAUGUGAGAGGCUUUGAGCCUAAAACUUCUUCAGCAACGGGUACACGUGCUUCAUCCUAAUGGCGGUCACAGUCACAAGCACCGCAAGAACCACAACUACUUGUUAAAUUCUUAAAGAAUUUGGUAGCUUUGCUAUAUUGUUAAGAGCAUUAUGCAUUUAUAAUAAUUUAUGGUAGUUAGUUAGUUUGGUAGUUUGUUAAAUUCUUAAAGACUUAACUGAUUUGGUGGCUUAGUAGUUUUUUAAAUUGUUACCGACAUAAUUCAUUUGGUGGUUUGAUGGUUUGAUCGUUUGUUAAAUAAUUAAUAGUUAAUGACUUAAUGUGCUUGUGAAUUAAUUGUAGGAUGUUGAUGUGAACGCUUUUCUUCAAAACUCGGCGUUUGUGACAACCAUUGGAGACAUUAUCUGCUUGUUUAAAAGCCACGUCAAUAAUGAAGAAAAGAACGAUGACGAAGACGCAUACACAUAGUAUUUCUUGUUUUGACUCUUUGUGGAUGGUGUUAUUUUUGAUUUAUUAGAUGGUUUAUGGAUGAUAUAUUAGAUGUGUAUUUGGGAUAUAUUAGAUAGUUUAUGUAAUAUGAUAUAUUUGAUGUUUUAUGUAAUGUGGUAUGUAUUUUUAUUAAAGAUGCAUUUUAUAAUAUAUAAAAACCAAUAUCAUAAAAAAUUAUUAUUUUCCAAAUAAAAAACCAUUAGCAGCCACAUAUUUAGGGACGACAAUGAUCCAAUUGUGAUGACAACCGGUUCCGGGAAGUGUAGCCGGAGAAACUCUGACCGGUGGCCGGAAUACCAAUAGAGACGACACCAACAACAACGAGAUUAACCAUUUAGCAACAACGUAUAUCAGAGGCGACACUAUUUGCGACGACAAAAGAGUAUUAGCUACGAGGUAAUAGCGACAACAUGUCGUCGCUAAAGGUAUUAGCGACGUCCAGGGGCAUCAAUUGCGAUGCUUUUUGUCGUCGCUAAAGGUUACGUUUUUUGUUAUGCAACAACUAUGUCUUUCUAUUACACAACACACAUCUUGAGACACAUAGUUAAAUUACCCCUCACAUUUAUAAUAAAAAAUUGAAAAUGCAUAAUAGAAUUUGGAAUAAGUUUCAUUUAUUGGAAGGCUGUUUGUUGUGUUUAGUACAAACAACAAUGCCUAAUCCUUGUGAAAUAUAGAAUACCUUAGUUGUUGAGGUUGCUCUACAAACUCAUCACAUAGCCGACUCCGGUGGUGAUCCAGACACCAUUUAUUGGAUCGCAAUAUUUAACAAGGUGUUGGGUACUCGUAGGGGGCAUGUGAGAGACAUUGAGCCUAAACCUUCUUCAGCAACGGGUAAACGUGCUUCAUCCCAAUGGCAGUCACAGUCACAAGCACCGAAAGCAACACAAUUACUUGUUAAAUUCCUAAAGAAUUUGGUAGAUUUGCUAUAUUGUUAAGAGCAUGAUGCAUUUAUAGUAAUUUAUGGUAGUUUGGUAGUUUGUUAAAUUCUUAAAGCCUUAACUGAUUUGGUGGCUUAAUAGUUUUUUUAAUUGUUACCGACAUAAUUCAUUUGGUGGUUUGACGGUUUCAUAGUUUGUUAAAUACUUAAUAGUUAAUUACUUAAUAUGCUUGUGAAUUAGUUGUAGGAUGUUGAUGUGAAUGCUUUUCUUCAAAACCCGGCAUUUGUGACAACCAUUGGAGACAUUAUCUGCUUGUUUAAAAAGCCACGUCAAUAAUGAAGAAAAGGACGAUGACGCAGACGCAGACACAUAGUAUUUCUUGUUUUGACCCUUUGUGGAUGGUGUUAUUUUGGAUUUAUUAGAUAGUUUAUGGAUGAUAUAUUAGAUGUGUAUUGGGGAUAUAUUAGAUAGUUUAUGUAAUAUGAUAUAUUUGAUGUUUUAUGUAAUGUGGUAUGUAUUUUUAUUAAAGAUGCAUUUUAUAAUAUAUAAAAACCAAUAUCAUAAAUAAAUUAUUAUUUUCCAAAUAAAAAACCAUUAGCAGCCACAUAUUUAGGGACGACAAUGAUCCAAUUGUGAUGACAACCGGUUCCGGGAAGUGUAGCCGGAGAAACUCUGACUGGUGGCCGGAAUACCAAUAGAGACGACACCAACAACAACGAGAUUAACCAUUUAGCAACAACGUAUAUCAGAGGCGACACUAUUUCCGACGACAAAAGAGUAUUAGCUACGAGGUAAUAGCGACAACAUGUCGUCGCUAAAGGUAUUAGCGACGUCCAGGGGCAUCAAUUGCGAUGCUUUUUGUCAUCGCUAAAGGUUAUGUUUUUUGUUAUGCAACAACUAUGUAUUUCUAUUACACAACACACAUCUUGAGACACAUAGUUAAAUUACCCCUCACAUUUAUAAUAAAAAAUUGAAAAUGCAUAAUAGAAUUUGGAAUAAGUUUCAUUUAUUGGAAGGCUAUUUCUUGUGUUUAGUACAAACAACAAUGCCAAAGCCUCGUGAAAUAUAUAAUGCUUUAGUUGCUGAGGUUGCUCUACAAACUCAUCACAUAGCCGACUCCGGUGGUGAUCCAGACACCAUUUAUUGGAUCGCAAUAUUUAACAAAGUGUUGGGUACUCGUAGGGGGCAUGUGAGAGAUAUUGAGCCUAAACCUUCUUCAGCAACGGGUACAUGUGCUUCAUCCCAAUGGCUGUCACAGUCACAAGCACUGCAAGAAACACAAUUACUUGUUAAAUUCUUAAAGAAUUUGGUAGAUUUGCUAUAUUGUUAAGAGCAUGAUGCAUUUAUAGUNUUAGUUAGUUUGGUAGUUUGUUAAAUUCUUAAAGACUUAACUGAUUUGGUGGCUUAGUAGUUUUUUAAAUUGUUACCGACAUAAUUCAUUUGGUGGUUUGAUGGUUUGAUCGUUUGUUAAAUAAUUAAUAGUUAAUGACUUAAUGUGCUUGUGAAUUAAUUGUAGGAUGUUGAUGUGAAUGCUUUUCUUCAAAACUCGGCGUUUGUGACAACCAUUGGAGACAUUAUCUGCUUGUUUAAAAGCCACGUCAAUAAUGAAGAAAAGAACGAUGACGAAGACGCAUACACAUAGUAUUUCUUGUUUUGACUCUUUGUGGAUGGUGUUAUUUUGGAUUUAUUAGAUAGUUUAUGGAUGAUAUAUUAGAUGUGUAUUUGGGAUAUAUUAGAUAGUUUAUGUAAUAUGAUAUAUUUGAUGUUUUAUGUAAUGUGGUAUGUAUUUUUAUUAAAGAUGCAUUUUAUAAUAUAUAAAAACCAAUAUCAAAAAUAAAUUAUUAUUUUCCAAAAAAAAACCAUUAGCAACCACAUAUUUAGGCACGACAAUG
rnacentral:lncRNA from 1 species